rnacentral:rRNA from 1 species
AUCAACUUUCGAUGGUAGGAUAGAGGCCUACUAUGGUGGUGACGGGUGACGGAGAAUUAGGGUUCGAUUCCGGAGAAGGAGCCUGAGAAACGGCUACUACAUCCAAGGAAGGCAGCAGGCGCGCAAAUUACCCAAUCCCGACUCGAGGAGGUAGUGACGAUAAAUACUGAUACAGGGCUCUUUUGGGUCUUGUAAUUGGAAUGAGUACAAUUUAAAUCCCUUAACGAGGAACAAUUGGAGGGCAAGUCUGGUGCCAGCAGCCGCGGUAAUUCCAGCUCCAAUAGCGUAUAUUAAAGUUGUUGCAGUUAAAAAGCUCGUAGUUGAAUUUCGGGGUCAGUAGGCUGGUCAUGCCACUGGUAUGUACUGGUCUCACUGAUUCCUCCUUCCUGAUGAGCCGUAAUGCCAUUAAUUUGGUGUUGCGAGGAAUCUGGACUGUUACUUUGAAAAAAUUAGAGUGUUUAAAGCAGGCUAACGCUUGAAUACAUUAGCAUGGAAUAAUGAAAUAGGACGUUCGAUCUUAUUUUGUUGGUUUCUAAGAUUGACGUAAUGAUUAAUAGGGAUAGUUGGGGGCAUUAGUAUUCAAUUGUCAGAGGUGAAAUUCUUGGAUUUAUUGAAGACUAACUACUGCGAAAGCAUUUGCCAAGGAUGUUUUCAUUAAUCAAGAACGAAAGUUAGGGGAUCGAAGACGAUCAGAUACCGUCGUAGUCUUAACCAUAAACUAUGCCGACUAGGGAUCGGAUGAUGUUAAUUUUUUAAUGACUCAUUCGGCGCCUUGCGGGAAACCAAAGUGUUUGGGUUC